CCUCUCCAUCUCCACCCAGCUGGGUCCAGGGGCCACUCUCAGCACCCACCUCAGCAGCUGACAUCAUAAAGCUGACUUGGGAACCUGGAAGCACUUUGGAGAACCUUUUCCUGAGACAUGGAGCUUUGGGGCCGAAUGCUGUGGGCCCUCCUGUCUGGCCCAGGGAGGCGGGGAAGUACCCGGGGCUGGGCCUUCAGCUCAUGGCAACCCCAACCACCUCUGGCUGGGUUAUCCAGUGCCACAGAACUGGUCAGCCACUGGACUCGGGUCUUUGAGAAGAGGGGUAUCCCUGAGGCCCGGGAAUCCAGUGAGUACAUCGUGGCUCAUGUCCUUGGAGCCAAAACAUUUCAGAGCCUGAGGCCGGCACUUUGGACCCAGCCCUUGACCUCUCAGCAACUACAGUGUAUCCAGGAGCUGAGUAGCCGUCGAUUGCAGAGGAUGCCGGUGCAGUACAUCCUUGGAGAGUGGGACUUUCAGGGGCUCAGCCUGAGGAUGGUGCCCCCAGUGUUUAUUCCUCGGCCAGAAACAGAGGAACUGGUUGAGUGGGUGCUGGAAGAGGUGGCCCAGAGGUCCCAUGCUGUGGGAUCCCCAGGCAGCCCCCUCAUUCUGGAGGUGGGCUGUGGAUCGGGAGCCAUCUCCCUCAGCCUGCUGAGCCAGCUCCCCCAGAGCCGAGUCAUUGCUGUGGAUAAGGGGGAAGCUGCUAUCUCUCUGACCCAUGAGAAUGCUCAGAGGCUUCGGUUGCAGGACAGGAUUUGGAUCAUCCACCUCGACAUGACCUCAGAAAGGAGCUGGACAUACCUGCCCUGGGGCCCCGUGGACCUGGUCGUCAGCAACCCUCCCUACAUCUUCCACCAGGACAUGGAGCAGCUGGCCCCCGAGAUCCGCAGCUAUGAAGACCCCGCGGCCCUGGAUGGUGGGGAGGAGGGCAUGGACAUCAUUACCCACAUUCUGGCCCUGGCACCCCGGCUCCUGAAGGACUCUGGUAGUAUCUUCUUAGAAGUGGACCCAAGGCACCCGGAGCUUGUUAGCAGCUGGCUUCAGAGCCGGCCUGACCUGUACCUUAAUCUUGUGGCUGUGCGCAGGGACUUCUGUGGGAGGCCCCGGUUCCUGCAUAUCCGGAGGUCUGGGCCAUAGCGUGGCUGCCCUGUGGAUGCCUUGUCAGUGCCGCCAGCCUGACCAGAGGGAGGUGGAUGGCACUUUCCAGAGCCCAGGCAGGGAGAACAAGAGAAGGUAUGGACUGCCUGAGGUCCCAUGACAGUGGCCAAGUGGAGACAGUAAGUUAGAUCCCUCCCUUUGGGGAGCCUAUAUUGCUGGAGUCAUACCCAGCCUAAGUGUUGCCCUGCACUAUGGCUGGAGGACACAUUUGGUAGAGGUCACACUGCAGCUCCCAGCGCCCCAGUGUCCUGCCCCGUGCCCAGCCCCAACUGUAUGGACCCUGAGCUGCCCCUGGCUUCCUUUGAGGAGGCUGCUCCAGAAGGAACCUGGGUGGGGAGGGCGAAGGGGGUGCACAACCAGGGCAAGGCUCCCCACUUCCUUAGUCCCCUGUGCUCACAGACAUUUGCCUGCUAAGGUCCUCACCAGUAUUGCCCUUUCUGUCUUCCUCCCUGUGCCCUUUGGCUCUUGCUGUCUUCAGCAGCAUCUCAGGGCAGCUGCCCUGACCUCGGAGCAGUCUGUCACCACCCACACCUCAGCCAGUCCUGGCUUCCCUGAUGGUCUCACCCUCCUGGCCUCAGGCCCAUUCCUGAGGAAGGGCCUUGGUGAGCUUGUGGAUGUUGCACCAGAAGAGAGUGCAGUGUUGGAGAGUGACAGUGUUGGGGCAGCUGGGGCCACAAGCAGGAGCCGGCCUUGGGCACAACUUCCUGCCCGGAAAAAUGUGCAGCUUGACUCUGCUGAGGAAAAGGUCCAAGCCAAGAGGACUGGCAGGCGGGGCCUCAAGCCUGCAGCUACCGGCUUGAUUGGGCCCUGGACGUUGAGCCCAGAUGCAUGUGAGGAGCCCGUGGAAUGUGCUUGGCUUGGCACACUGUGGCAUUUUUCCUUGCCUUCCUCAGAGGGCAGACACAGGGAGGAAGGACCCAGUGCCCUCAGGCGUCCAUCUGAUGCUUGGGACCAACAUAAGGCAGGCAGGGGUACAAGACAAUCUGGAAAGAAGGGAAGGCAGGAGUUUCAGUCUUGGGCUCUUGACUCCUCACUGUUGUCUAGAGAUGGAGCCAGCAGGCUUGUAGCCUGGCAGCCCACAUCUCCCCUCAGCCCCUCCUUACUAUGGCCCCAGUGUCUUGAGUCCCAGGCCAGGGCAGCCAGUGGCUCCAGCUCAGGGAAAGCCAGGCUCACUUGCCCUAUUCCCUCCCUUGCUCCUGAGGCCAAAGCCAGAGACUCGAACUGCCUCCCCACCACCACCAGCAUAAGUCAAGGAGCACUUGCAGGCAGAAUGGGAGGAGGACAUGGAGCUGAUGGAGUCCAGGCUGUGCAAGCCCCUGAGGUCUUGAGAGAUGUGCCCACUGCCCAUGCAGCCUCCUUCAGCCAGAGCCCAGAGCAUAGACAGGAGUGUAGGAGUCCCUGUUUGAUGUACUCUGGGAGAGUAAUUCUAACUCCUCUUCUGAUAGUUGGGGAAACUGAGGCCUUGUCUCACAAUUGGAUGCUUUUCCCAGUUGUCAGUGGGUUUCUCCAUGUGUCUCAUACAGCUGCCUUAUUGAAAUAUGCUCCCAACCCACUAAAUGCAAGAAAUACACUCUUUUUUGCUCCUUUACCCCCACCUGGACCCUGGGCCAUUGGCUGCUCCCAAUCCCUGCCCCAAACACUUAGCUGGCUCCCCAUGACCUAAGUGUGUUCUCUUGUGUCCUAUGGAAUCCAGUUCUGAAGAGGUGGGGGAGGACAACUGUGGGAAAAGCCCUGGGGGCCCCUCCCAAGGCCCCAUCAGUUCUCUGAGUAGGCUGCCAUCAGAACAAAGGGCUCCACUGCUGACAAGGUUUGAGAACUGCUGGCUUGAGGUGAGAACCCCUUUAACCUCUGUGGGGCAGCAUGUCUUUCCCUAUCCACCUUUGAUUCUUUUCUCUCUUUUUUUCUUCAUCGGCUCCUUCUUAAUGGAUUCUCUUCUCUACUGCCCUGGGCUUCAGCCUUUUUGCAGCACUCUCGAUGCCCUGAACACACACCUUCCCUUUGUCCAGGCAGUGCAAACAAUCCACUUCUUCAAGCUCCAACACAAAUGCUGCCUCCUUUAGGAUGCCUGCUCUGUGCUCUCCCUGCCUCUCCUAGCCCAUACCUCUGCUGGCACCUUCUGUACCAUGCCUUCAGAAACCUUCUUAUCCCCCUCAUCUCUGGGGUCCCCUGUGGAUCUGGCAUACCCAAGUUCAGUAAAUGUCUACCAGUAAGCUGAUGGUACAUGCAUUUUCUAGAAUAGAGCUGGGACUUUCCAUGUGGCCCACAUCUGACCUGGCGGCCCAUGUAUUCCGGUUAUUAGGGAUGGGAAGCCAUGAGGACCUGGCCUUCGGCCCAACCCAGGCAGCCAUUCAAGUUGAGCGAUGGCCACUUUGAAGACUCAAGUGCACCUGAUCUCUGCGCGACAGCCACGCCAGGAGAACAGGCUGUCCUUGGCGGCAGUAGGAGCAGGCGCCAGGUUUCCUGGAGCUCUUGGCUUCAGCCAGCCCCCAGCCAGAGUCCUUGCUAGGACAGUGACCUGAUCUCCUCUUCAUGACCUUCUGCCCUGGACAAGCCCCCUGAACUGGAUUUGGGACUGUCAAAGCAACUCUACCCCUGCUCUGGUAGGCUGAACAGUGACCCCCCCCAAAAUGGCAGUAUCUUAAUUACCUAAACCUUAAUAUGUGACUAUAUUACCUUCACAUAGCAAAAUGGACUUUGCAGAUGUGAUUAAGGAUCUUGGAAAGAGUAUCCUGGAUUUUUCAGGUAAACUGAGUAUAAUCACAAGGCCCUCUGUAAAGGAGGCAGGAGUGUCAGAGUGACGGAAGAAAAUGUAUGUAACAAUGGAAGCAGAGGUCAGAGUGAUGCAAUUGCUGGAGGAAGAGCCAUGAGCCAAGGAAUGCAGACAGCCUCUUCUCCUCUGGGGCCUCAAGAAGAAUGCAGUCCUGCCAAUACCUUGAUUUUAAGCCCUGUGAAACUGAUUUCAGAUUGCUGACCUCCAGAAUAGUGAUGUGGCCAGGAGAACUCUUCCUCAACCUUCAGACCUAAACUGCCCAGGCCCCCCUUUUUUUACUCAUAUUUGGAGAGAGGUGGCCCUUUCCCAGAGUGAGAAGACUGGAAGACUGACCAGCAUGGGUUCCAGAAGGGAGUGGGAACAGGCCUGCCUACCUGGAGAGGCGGCCAAGUCCCUCUGCUGUUCCUGGAAGUCAGUGUGAGGCUGAGCUACGUGACCAAGCAAAGCAAACUAGGACUACAGGUGCGAACAACCCUGCCUGGCUAAUUUUUAAUUUUUUUUUUUUUUAUGGAAACGGGGUCUCGCUAUGUUGCCAGGGCUGGCACAUGGGUUUUUUUUUUGUUUUUUUUUUUGAGACAGUCUCGCUGUCACCCAGGCUGGAGUGCAGUGGCGCGAUCUCGGCUCACUGCAGGCUCCGCCCCCCCCCCCCCCCCGGGUUCACGCCAUUCUCCUGCCUCAGCCUCCCGAGUAGCUGGGACUACAGGCGCCCGCCACCUCGCCCAGCUAAUUUUUUUUUUUUGUAUUUUUAGUAGAGACAGGGUUUCACUGUGUUAGCCAGGAUGGUCUCGAUCUCCUGACCUUGUGAUCCACCCGCCUUGGCCUCCCAACACAUGGGGUUUUUAAUUGUCCCCACAUUAUAAAGUUGAGGACACCAAGGCUCAGCAGGGUGCAGUUACAGGUCAGGUUGCAUAGCUGGACUGGAAGGGAGGAUGAAGCUGCCAUUGGUGCCCAUUUGAAUAUCACAGACGCUGAGGCCAGCAUAACUAGGUCCUGGGCUGUCCCCUACAGAGCUUAGCACAGAAGUUACCUGGGCUCGUGGACCCUUGGAGCAGAAGCAGGGGUUUCCAGGGCUGUCCCUAGAGGGCUUUCUAGAAGACCUGCAGCUGCCCCUGGGUGCAUCUCCUGAGGUAUAGGGCCAGGGCCUCUGUCUCUCAAGACCUACUUUGUGUCAGGCACCAGGGAGAUGAUACCAAGUGGAGGGUCCUAUAGAAUAUGGUGCAUCCUGUGCCAAGUACUUCCAGGAUUAUCUUACUCAACCUUCAUGACAUCCUCAGAGAUGGAGGCUGUGAACCCUCUCGUUAUACUGACAAGGAAACAAACAGGGGCUAAGAAACUUGCUCAUGUGCUGGCUGAGCUGUGAUUCUGGCACAGGCUGAGUGACCUGGAGCUGGAGGCCUUAGUCGUCACACCAGACUUGAGGAGGGGCGGAUAGGACAGGAAUAUACCAGGCAGUAGGGACAGUCUGGACAAAAGCCUGGAGUUCUGCAGACGUGCGGGUAGGGAUGUGUAGGGGUGAGGUGGUGCUGGGGGGUGCCCUUGGCUGAGCUCUGAAUGCAUUUCUGGGGACCAGGGGCCUAAAGAGCUUUUUGAGCUGAGUUAGGGUUAGAGAGGCAUUGAGGCUGCUCUUUCUGGCUGCCAGGAAAAAGGGGCUGGGGCAGGAGGCUGCAACUGUCCAGGGUCUGGAGGCGGCUGGGGUCUGUAGCAGUGGCAUCAGAUAUUCUGGAACAGAACUGACUCACAACAAUUGCUGAGGGUUUAGGUGUGGGAUGGCCAGGACCACAAUGGGCCCAGGGCUCUGAUUGGGACCUGGGGGAAAUGGGGCCACGCUGAGUUGGAGACUGGGGUGCUGGGGGGGACAGUCGGGGAGCUUGACAGUGUAGGAUGCCUUCAGAAUAUCUGAGAGGCAGCAUCGGGACAUCUGGAGAUGCAAAUGUGACCAUGUGGGGACACAGUCCAAAGGCAACCCUUGAGGUAGAGUUGGGAAGACCACUCUCCUAGACCUGAGUGCUGGCAACAACAGUACCGGGCAUCUGCAGUGUGUAAACUAGUGCCAGGUGCUGCACACACUUUGUCAUAAAUCCAUCUGUUGGCACAUCAGGGAUCCCUUCCUUGGCCCACUGUACGGAUGAAGGGACUGUGGCUUAACCAGCAACUGACCAUGCUGGAGUUUGAACCUAGUCUUCUGACAUCCCAGCCAGGAGAGGCAUGAGCAGGCUGCAGAGGUCAAAUGCAGCCCAGGGCCUCAACCCCCCAGAGGGGCCUCAGAAGCCGGUGAGGUGCCCCACAGCCAACGUGGGCUUCAGGGUGAAGGGGAAAGUGAUGAAUCAAACAGAAAGCAGCAGACGCAGACUGAGCUCUCUCCCUGUCAGCCCGGGCGCCAGAUUUUCACGCCCACAGCAAAGGGGCCAGGCAGAGUGCUAGAUGUGGGGCGGGAGAGGGCAGCGAAAGCGGCUGCCAGUGAACCCAGACUCUGAUGUACUCCGGAUAUGGGUGGCGUGGACCGACCGACACCCAGCCCAAUUCCAGACUGAAAGUUGAGUCCGUCUCAGCAUGAAGUUUGCCUUGUCACGGGGAGCAUUUCAGGUCCCUAGGCCUGUGAGGUUCUGGGAUGAGGCACCAGAUGGAUGUGUCUAAAAACCCUUGUUGAAGGCACUCCACAGCUCAAGAACUGACCAUUGCUCACUACUCUCUUGGCCCGCACUGAAAGCCACUGUUUCUUCAUCAUUUCACUCAGCCCGCCUGUCUCAGCCCCCCAGAACUUUGGAGCUCAUUCUUUCAAAGUACAUUUCAUGUGCAACUGAAAUAC